AUAUCUUUUAAAUAACUGCUAAGACCGUUUUUUCUCUUCUUUUCUAUUUUUUUUUCUCAUCCUCCUAGAUCACUAAUUCUCGCAACCAUGCCUCUAACUUCAUUCUUUGUAUUUGCUUUUGAUCUUUAAAAGAAGCUUGUAACUAUCAUUGCAUCAGUGCUGACUUGGGCUGUUAUGAAGAUCUGCUGGUGAAGAAUAACGAUGGGUUGAAUAUGUGUCUCCAUGAUGGAAAAAGAAGAAGAGAUGAAAAAAAUGGUUCACUGACUAUGGAAUAACGACGGUGGACCGGAAAAUGUGUGUCGGGAGAGAUGAAGAAGAUGCAUGGUGGACUUGCCGAUCCAGAUUUGAAGCUUGCAUAGGAAGCAAAGCUCGCCACCAUAAGAACUGUGUUCUUCUCGCCUUUGCUCCGAUCUGGUUCUGAUGAUCGUAUCACCAUCGCAGCCAUUGUUUGAACCGAGUUUGGUCAUAUUCCAAUAAAAGGGACAAAAUUCGUCGGCGGGUUAGUUAGAAAGCGUUUAUUAGAUCGAAAAGGUGUUUUAUCGAUUACAAAUAAAGGAAAUAGACGGUGGAAACAAGCCAAGCUAGCGCUCUGAGAGCUUGUCGGAAAAAUACAAAAUACAAGUCGACAAGAAUACAAAGUUUGUAAACUCUAAUUCUAACCGCCAAGUAUGUGUUUUGAUGUUCGGAUCCCCUUCUUGUUGUCUCCUCUUCUCUUUAUAUAGCAGGCCUGCACCUCUUUUUAUC